rnacentral:rRNA from 1 species
AACGUAGGUCCCGAGCGUUAUCCGGAUUUACUGGGCGUAAAGCGUGUUCAGGCGGUCUGGCAAGUCGGGCAUGAAAUCUCUCGGCUCAACCGGGAGGGGUUGUCCGAUACUGCUGGACUGGAGGGCAGCAGAGGGUGGUGGAAUUCCGGGUGUAGUGGUGAAAUGCGUAGAUAUCCGGAGGAACACCAGUGGCGAAGGCGGCCACCUGGGCUGUACCUGACGCUAACACACGAAAGCUAGGGGAGCGAACGGG